rnacentral:lncRNA from 1 species
CAAGAAGGAGCAUUUCCCUGUUGUCCCUCUUCCCUUUUUAUCUUUUGCAGUGCUGCUGAUGGAAGCCGGGGCCUCACACAUGCUAGAUAAGAGCUUUCCUACCGAGCUACAGCUGGAGCUUAAUAUGCUGCCUUGAAAUGUUACAGGCACACACCCUCAGGGAGCAGCUCUCCUUCUUCCCAAGUAUCUGUUAAUCAUCAGUGUGUGACUGCAGAGUACGUGACUGCUGACCACCAGCUCAAGUCAGCAGACCUUUGUCCCCUGCCUGCAAGCUUAAAAUGUUAACCCCCCUAUUUACCCCCCUAUAAAAUGGACCUCAGCCCCUGAGCUGGUGCCUCUCUGAGUUGCUCAGUUCUGAGUGCUGUCUGGCCAGACUAAUAAAGGUCUGUUUACCAACAAGCCUGGUGUGUUCC